UGGCAACUUCUUCAUCAUGCC
rnacentral:miRNA from 1 species